GACGAACGCUGGCGGCGUGCCUAAUACAUGCAAGUAGAACGCUGAAGAGAGGAGCUUACUCUUCUUGGAUGAGUUGCGAACGGGUGAGUAACGCGUAGGUAACCUGCCUUGUAGCGGGGGAUAACUAUUGGAAACGAUAGCUAAUACCGCAUAACAAUGGAUGACACAUGUCAUUUAUUUGAAAGGGGCAAUUGCUCCACUACAAGAUGGACCUGCGUUGUAUUAGCUAGUAGGUGAGGUAAUGGCUCACCUAGGCGACGAUACAUAGCCGACCUGAGAGGGUGAUAGGCCACACUGGGACUGAGACACGGCCCAGACUCCUACGGGAGGCAGCAGUAGGGAAUCUUCGGCAAUGGGGGCAACCCUGACCGAGCAACGCCGCGUGAGUGAAGAAGGUUGUCGGAUCGUAAAGCUCUGUUGUAAGUCAAGAACGGGUGUGAGAGUGGAAAGUUCACACUGUGACGGUAGCUUACCAGAAAGGGACGGCUAACUACGUG
rnacentral:rRNA from 1 species